UACAGAGGUGCCAAGCGUUAGGCGGAAUCACUGGGCUUAAAGCGUGUGUAGGUGGAUUUGUAAGUCCCUUGUGAAAUCCCAUGGCUCAACCAUGGAACUGCUCGGUAUACUGCGAAUCUUGAGCCACUUAGGGGCUACCGGAACAAAUGGUGGAGCGGUGAAAUGCGUAGAUAUCAGUUGGAACGCCAAUGGUGAAAACAGGUAGCUGGGAGUGUGCUGACACUGAGACACGAAAGCCAGGGGAGCGAACGGG
rnacentral:rRNA from 1 species